rnacentral:lncRNA from 1 species
GAGGCGGGCAGGCAGGUCCUCCUCCCGGCUCCCGGGCAGCAGCCAGGGGGCGUGGGGCUCUUCUCCGCGGCGGCGACUUCACCGGGGCCGGAGCUACCCACGGACGGACAGCCUGACUGACUGACGGGCGCCGCUGAAUGGAGCAGGAGGCUACGCCGUCUUCCCCACUGUCUCUCACAGCAUUGGAAGAGGAGGGACGGGCUCCCGAGCCCGGGCGCAGGAGGAGGAGGAGCGUCCGGCGCGUAGCGGGCACAUCACGAGUUCUGCUUCCCAGGAGUCCCUAAGCCACCACAUGAGUCAGGCUUUUCUCCCUCCUGUCACCUUCCCCCGGCCUUCCCCGCGCGGAGGAUGCCCACGCCUGCCUGCCUGCCUCCCUGCACCACCGCCCCCACUCGGAUCUUCCUUCACGCCCCGGGCGUGACGGACGACACCUGGCCCCCGAGCUCCCGCCAAGGGUUCCCCUUUGUGUGCGCCAGACCGCAGCUGCCAUGCGGUCCCUUCUCCUGGCGGGCGGUGUGCGGAGGGAGGCGCCGGGACCGUGCGGGCCGCAGAGCUGCUAUGAAUAAUAAGCCUUAAAAAGGAGAGGAAGGACCAAGCAGCAUGCAGAAAACAGAAUACUUAAAUCUUGGAUUUGACCUCUCAACACUUAACCUAACUUUUUUUUUGCAAAUACCUAACUUUUUUUGCAAAUACAUCCAUGUUUUUAUGUUGUUUCUCUAGAAAAAUGUUAAAAUUUCACUAUUUUUAUCAUGAAUGUCUAAAUUUUUUCAAUAAC